CCAACAAGUUUGGGAAUUAAUAUGCUUCAAAUAUCUCCCUUACUCAUUCAAUGUAUAGUAAUAUAAUAUAACAUACAAGCUAUAGGUUAACUAGUACAUGUUAAGUGUAUAAUUAUGGUCUGAGCUUUUGCCAACCUAUAGUAAUCGCAAUAAGUCUAAUGUCAUGCCCUCAGGCUUAAGGAGUUGUGCUAGCUGUACAGCCCUGUGCAUGAGUAUAGCAAACCUGCGUGUACAUACGUACACCAUUGCCACCGUUCAGCUUGUGCAGAGUAUGUUAAUUUGAGGGAGAUUUCUGAAUGGCAACUGUACACAUGUCAUCUGUAUUGUCUAGUUCAUUCAAGUGGACAAUAGGAAGUGAAUAGGAAUGUGUGUAUAUAGUAUGAAGGAAUUGGCUUGAUGCCAUACAAGAUGCCCAUACAUGUGGUUUAUUUAGUGUAGUUGAACAGGAAGCAUUGCCUGAGCAUUUAACAGAGAUUUUGUUAACUUGCUGUACAAGAAAAGUGUUGACUGUGUCAUACCAAUGGAUGAUCCAAUGUGUGCGUGCUGUACGUACUUAGAGGUUUCCAAUCGUUCAUGUACACCAUGUUGGCGAACAGCAGUCACUUUGCAGCACGGUUGUCAGUCACUGGACAUAAUGGAAUGUCUUUUGGAAUAAUGCACCAGCUGUGUAUACGUGGUCAGGGCUGCUUGUUUCUCUCAAUGCAGUCUCUAGAAUAGUGUCAACUGCUCUCAAACUUUCCUCCCCUGUGGCGAACAGGUGAGUGGUGUGUGAUUGUGUUUGUGACUUAAUUAUGGAAAUUUGUUGUAUGUAAUGCAGACCUAUAUGACCAUAUAAUUAUAUAUAGCUCGGUCAGCAAAUACUUGAACAGGCAGUAACUCUGAACCUCUCACUCUUCUUCCUGAGUGACAGGUAUUAUAUCACUGCCCAUAUAAUCACCUGAUAUCAGUUAGAACUGCCUUGUGAUAUGGGGCAAGACAAUAAAAAUAGAUAUUGAUUAUAGAAUGCAGCGGAACCGCUUUAUAAUCUUUGAGGAUUAUUUUUGACCUUAUACUAAUUAAUCAAGGUGGCUAUUUUUUAGGGAUUAUUUUGUACACAAACUAUUCAUUUGGGCGUAUAUCAUUUCGAACAUUUUACUGUGACCCUCCUUGCCACUGCACCUUACUAGCACAAUGACCUCAAUAUUGUGACCAUAAUUAUACCCUUAAAUGGAUCUAUCAUCAACCACAAGUGGUUUGCAUUCAGUUUUAGGGGCGGCUUUAGGAGAAGCAAACUAACUAACCCUCUAGCUGUACAGUGAGUGUCUAUGGACAGGCACACCCUCUAUUGUCAUGAGUAGGGUUUCCAGUCGUUCGUGUACACCAUGUUGGCGGACACCAGUCCCAUUGCAGCACGGUUGUCAGUCACUGGACAUAAUGGAGGAAAUGUACAUGAAGGUAUUUUGGAAUAAUGCACCGGCUGUGUACGUGAUCAGGGCUGCUUGUUUCUUCUCUCCAGUCUCCAGAAUAGUGUCAAACUUUCCUCUCCUGUGGCGAGCAGAUGAGUGGACGAGUCAUACUUUGCGAUGAGGAAGAUCAUUAUCUCCGAAAAGCUCACCAAAGAGGGCAAGAAACCAGUAGAGGAUGAAUAGACAAAACCGUAACAACUAUAAGAUAAUAAAUUGAACGUGACUUGUCUCCUGCAGAGGGUCCUAGCAAGAUCUCGAGCGCUAUGAACCUCCAAACCUAACAAUGUUGAGAUAACUCUCAUUCGUUGAACUCCCUCAAAAUCAAUCAGAUCAGUCAUCCGUGCAUGUGUUGUUAUUGUCAUAAACAUGAAACAAGCAACUAAUCUUUUGUACAGAGAUAUUGCUAUUAGUACGUGUUUGACAAUUUGCAAUAUGAAUUUUUGCUAUCCGACAAGACAAACAAUUACAUAUAG